AUAUUUUUUUUAGAAAAAUUAUUUUAUUUUUAAAAAAAAUUUUAAUUUUAUAAAAGUUAAGUAAUAUUUUGAAUAAUUUAUUUUUUUUAUAAUUUUAGUAUUGAAAAAGAAUAUUUGUUAUUAUUAUGAAAUUAAAUUUUUUUUUUUUACCUUUUGUAUCAGGGUUUAUUAAAUUAAUAUAAUUAAUAAAUUAUUUUUCUCGAAAUUAAUUGAUUUAAAUUUUUAUAUUUUUUAAUGUUUAAAUAUUAUAAAAAAUAAAUUUUUUGAAAUGAAAUGUUUUUCGAAAUUAAUUAUAUCUAGUUAUUUUAUAAAUUUAUUUAAUAAAGAAAAUAUAAUUAUUAUUAAAUUUAUUUAUUAAAUUUUUAAUAUAUUUUAUUUUUAAUAAAUUUAGGGAUAAACUUAAAUUUAAUUUUAAUAUUUUUUUUAUUGAUAAAAAUUUUUUAGAAAUAAUAAUUUUUAUAAAUUUAUAGUUUUUAAUAAUUAAAUUUGUUUUUUUAAAAUUUUUUAUGAAUUUAAUAGUUUAUAAAAUUAAUUAUUUUAAUUUUUUAAAGUAUUUAAAUAAUGAUAAAAUUAGUAGAAAAAAAAUUUAUUAUAUUAUAAGUUUGAUAAGUUUAAAUUAAAGAAUUAGGCAAUAAUUUAUAUUUACCUGUUUAUUAAAAACAUGGUUUUUUGAUUAUAAUUUAAAAUCUAGCUCUGCUCAAUGAAUUUUUAAAUAGCUGCAGAAUUUUUACUGUACUAAGGUAGCAUAAUCAUUUGUCUUUUUAUUAAAGUCUGGAAUGAAAGGUUGGAUAAAAUAUAAACUGUUUCAAUUUAAUAAAUUUUUAAUUUUAUUAUAAGUAAAAAUUCUUAUAUUUUUUUUAAAGACGAGAAGACCCUAUAGAAUUUAAUAGUUAAAAUUUUUUAAUAAAGAUAUUUUUAUUAAUUAUUAAUUAUUUAAUUGGGGAAAUUGAAAAAUUUAAUAAAAUUUUUUAUUAAAAAUAUAUUAAUUUAUAAUUUAUUUAAUCUAUUGUAAUAAAUUUAUAAUAAAUUACCUUAGGGAUAACAGCGUAAUUAUUUUUGAAAGAUCUUAUUGAUAAAAUAGAUUGCGACCUCGAUGUUGAAUUAAGAAUUUUUUUUAUUGUAGAAAAUAAAAAAAUUAGUCUGUUCGACUAUUAAAUUCUUACAUGAUUUGAGUUUAGAUCGGUGUGAGCCAGAUCGGAUUCUAUCUUAAAAAAAAAUUAAAUAAUUUUGUACGAAAGGACUUUUUAUUUUAAAUAAUUUAUUAAAAUUGAAUCAAAUUAAUUUGUUACUUUGGCAGAAUAAGU
rnacentral:rRNA from 1 species